CCCUCCGCCGCCGCCUCAGGAGCGGGGCCGGCCCGGGCCGGGGUCACCGCCACAGCCCGGGCCCCACCGAGCCCUCCCAGGGACCCGCCGAGCUCUCCCCGCGCCCCACCAUGGCUCCUGGGGUCCCUUCUGCUCAUCCCCUCAGGCAGGACAGCGACCCAGGCCCCUGGGCCCACCCCUGCCCUCAGCCUGAAGCCCGGGCAGGGCGGCCAAACUCCAGCCCCUCACCCCCGGCCAUCACUUUCACACUUGUUUUUCACUUCAGUCCUUUCCUUGGCUGCUUCAGGCUCACCCGACAGUGAGGACAAAGCUGAGGGGCCACCAGCAGAGGAGGGAGGACAGUCAGUGCCCCACAGGCCAUCUGCCCCCAGCACAGAGCAGGGCAGGACAAGGGCUGGGACAGUGUGAAGACAGGUAUGGGAUCAUCCCUGGCUCCCAGGGCAGUGGCACUGCUUACCCAGCACACUCUCAGCCCAGUCCCUGCUCCAUCAGUGAGCAAGACUCUACAUCAAACCUAAAACAAGGGACUUCAAUGAAUGGAGAAGCAAUGGAGGAGCAAACAUGCAAAGUGCUGUCAGCCCAAGACACUUCGAGUUGCUCACUCUUUAUAAGGAGAACAACGCCUGUAAUUUACAGCCUGUCUCCCAGCACCUCUGGAUAAGCCUGGGGCUGUUUACAGCAUGUACAAACAUUAAAAAAAGAAAACCAAGCAGCCACCACACAACAGUCACAUGGAGCCUUUGACCUUCACCUCCAGGUUUACAUAAUUAUGCUCCUUUCCUCUGCAUUUCUCACUGCUCUCUGCCCCUCCUCUCUGUCCAUGUUCACCAUCACGCCACCUCCACAUCCCAGUUCAGGCUCUUUCAGGCCUCCCAGUUAUCCCCAUGGGCCCCAGUCGAUGCAGGGGGUGCACUGGGGUCACGGGGGCAGAGCUCUGACCCCACAUGGCUGUGCUGUGCCUUCCCCACAUGACACAGGCUCUGCUUUCAGUGUCACCAGAUCAAAAUAGAGACUGAGCGAGGAUUUACGCAGUUGGGCCUCUCCCCAUUCUUCACUUAUCUCCCCUCACUUUCUAGCACUCAAAACCAGGCACUACUGGGGCCAAUGUGCCAUGUCAGAACCUCUGCAGCUAAAGACUUCUCCAAAGAAAAUGCACUUAGAUUAAAAAAGUAUUCAGCAAGAGAUUUUUAAGGGAAGAUAGAGAGCCUUAUGAAGGACACUUUAAGCUUUAGACAUCAUAUGUCUAAAUCAUAACAUCAGAGGAAUACUAAGAAAUCUGUUUUGUGCCAAAGAGAACAGAAGGCCUUUAAAACCUCUCCAGACUGAAUCCCCCUCUAUUUGCUGAAGUUUUGAGCUCCCAUCCAAAAUCCAUCCGUGGCAUUACCCCAACAAGCAACACUGAGAAAGCAAAGCUGACCAAUAAUUUCAACAGCUCAGAACACCCCCGUGUAAGGAAUAAAUGAGAUGUAAAAAUAUUCCAAGUUAAUAAUAAAUUAAGGUGUUGGUAGUAACAGACACUUUCUAGUACUCUUCACAGUGCCCCUUUAAACCAGGAAAAAGCCCACAAGCCUCCAUGUGUUAAAUAUUCUGAUUCAGAAAAUAAUUUCCCCGAGAACUGGUUGUUUAUUGCCAUCCACAGAGUCUCACAUUCAGUAUUAAUCCUCUCAGCAUCAGCAUGUAUCCUCACCCCAAAGUCAAUGUCACCAGCUACAUUUUCGGGAAGCUAAAAAAAAUUAAUUCAUUCAGAAGAUGCCUUUUGAACAGAGAAUGCCACAACAGUAAUUCCUAAGCCACCCAUUCUGCAUCCCACUUCCAAACCCAGACACAUCUCCCUUCGGCAGCAGCGCUGCCUGAUGUCCUUUUGUCCUCCUAAUGGAGCUGGAGCCCUCGAGCAGGUUUGUUUCAGCACAGCAAGGACAAACAGCCAGGAGCGGCAGGGAGGUUUGACCGGAAUAACUAAACACGCUGCACUGGGAUCCGAGCGGGAUCCGAAGGCUGAGCUCUGGAACAGCGCUCAGGAGGCUGAGGGAUUUGCAUGCGGGUCACUCCUUCGAGCUAGGGCCUUGAUUGGUGUCCAGGAGAGUUUUGGGAUGUCGGUAUCUCCAGCACCCAGACUACAAUAAACCUAUUUACAAACAGCACCUUCACUUGCUUUUGCUGCCGAAAGGGGUCAGAGGCAGAACAGAAUGAAUUCACCUGCCCUUCCCCAAGGGAGCCUCGACACUGGAGACACUGGGACGGCGAUGCAGGAUAACCCCAUGGGGCUCCUGCUGCUCCUCCCUCCCUCAAGGAAUCCACAUGGAUAUUUGGCAUUAAGUGCUGGCAGCGCAGCAGCCCUGCAGCCCCUGGGGGGAUGCCCCGCUCUGACAGCCACGUGGCAGGACAAUAAAACACCCAGCACGCUCCAAAAGCACCACCAGGCAACGGGCACCAGUACCACGGGUAAUCAACCUUCAAAAGCACAGAUACUGUGCCCUGAGUUUGUUCAUUUUUAAUAGCACACUCUGCAAGAGCCACAGCCCCCUGACAGAGACCACUGGCAACCCAUAGCUUGGUGAGGACCACUGAUUUAUACAGUCAGAGUGGAGGAAACAGAAGAGCAGCACUAGACAUGGCUUUGUGGCUCCUUCCCAGCUGCACUACAUCGGUUCAGCCAAUUGGUCCCUCAGGUGUGACACAGGGCUCUUGAUCACAAGAGCUAGAAAUUAGCAUUGAGGAAGAAAUUAGCACCUUCCAGGUUGCUUGUCCGAGCGCAGAGAAGUACAUUUUCAUCUGGUAGCAGCUCCCCAAAACACAGACGUCACUGUCCUGAGUUUCCAUAACACCUUUCAUCCUCAAAAGCACUAAUGGUCUUCACAGCAAGCCAUUUUCUGCCAUACCGCCAAAAUGCAGCCUUGAGGUAGAAACAUCAUCUGAACAGUGCCUGGGUUGACCCAAAAAAAGCUGAGAGAAGCUCCUUUUCGUGCAGACAAAUGAAUGAAGAUCAUUUUCUUCCUAUUCAUUGAAAGAUUUUUCUUGUCUCUCUCCCCAGGCUAUAAACAUGCACAUGGAAAUUAAAUUACAGAUCCGGGAAAAUGUUCAAGAGAUCAUCUGAGUCAAGCAGAAAAGCAACGUGUGGCUCCAAGGACCCAGAACCCAGGAAGCACAACACACACACCACUUGCCAGCCCUCCUGCAUGGAUAAGCAGGACACACAGCCCCAAGAACAGUUUUCAUAAGGAUUCUAAGGCCUCACUUAUCUAAAUCAGCCUCCAAAGGGCAGGAGUUUGGCACCAUACUGCUCGCCUCAACGCUAUCCCAAAUGAUCUACUUCACUCUAGGUGUUCUUAUCAUAUCCCUUCCUUCCCUCCAUCAUACUCAGGAAUUUAUUAGACAGGUAAACCUUUCUCAGAGGACUGGCACGCUUCCCAGUCCUUAUCAUCACUGUCCUCCCACUGGGGACUUGUAACAAAAUUAAUGGUGGCAUCACAGCUUUUAAAGAGGAAAGUGUCAGAGGGCUCUGUGGGACAGUUUCUGGAUAUGCUUAAAAUUAUUCUUGUAUUACCAGUGAAAAAUAACGCCCUUGUGGUAGGAAAACCUGUGUGGGAUGUUUAACAAGUAACUCAGGAGGAACUUGGACUGAAACACAGGAGCAGAUCCCGAGAUUCCUUUCACACAGCACUGGAAAAGCUCAGCUGUUUCAGCAGAGGUUAGUGCUGCCGUUCCCAGAAGAGCAAUCAGAAAGCUCCAGCCUUACCUUCUAGAUUUGUCCUUUUAACAAAAAGUAAUGUCUUCCCUGUUAAUAACAACCAUCAGCCCUAAUUUGCAAUCUGCAAUUCCCAAAAUCGGCUAAUUAAAGCUCCCACCCCCAGCGAGGGAGGUCACGCGCCCGCUGCACCUCCUGCCAAGAAGGAGCCAGCUCCGAAGGGAAGGGCAGCAGCUCUCCAGGCGGGAGACUGCAGAGCCAGGCCCGGGAAGUGCCGCAUUCAAAUGAAACUGGGAGGAGUGUUACGGAAUUGCUCAGGAAUACAGCUGGAGCGGGGCCAGCACUUAGCAUGUAUGAAGGCUGGUGCUGUAUGAAUGAUAAAAAUAGUAGCAGAUGCUUGGAUAAGAAAAUACAAUUUGGUUUACAUGCAAACCCAUCACUGAGCGUGGUUCAAAAAUGUACCUGCUAUCAGAUCAGAGAAAGAUUAAGGGCAAGAGAGCUUAUUUUGGUGUAAACUUAGUUGCAAGGCCCUCUCUUUUGUGUUCAAGAGGUCUCACUUCCCUUUGGAAAACCUUUCUGCUCCAGCAUUAGGAAGGUGGGUUUUAAUCAGGCUCUGCUUGGUGCCAAAUGUCACAGAAGCAGAGUCUGAAGGGAUGGCAGGAGCACGGCCAGAGGGCACAGCAAUUGCUUUGGUUUGGAAAUCAGGGGACAAGGUACACUGAUUUAUUUUAGGUACACCUACACACAUGCACAGCCAAGCCAGCUCCCACAGGCAGGACUGCCUCCCUCAGCUCCAAUACAGCCCUGCUUCCAACACAAAACACAGCCAGCACUGACAGGGCACAGUGACCCCGUGCAGCACUUCAGGGAAGGAAGCAGAGAACGAUGCUUGUUCCCCUGCAAAGAGCCACACCAGGAGCUGCUGCUUUCAGCAAGUCAGACCUGGGGACACAGAGCUGAAUUCCCAAGGGUGGACUGUUUUCUUUAGCACAAGCAUCCCAAAAAACUUUCAAAACAGGCACACUUCCUGGCCACUACCAGAGACCUGCUCCUCUCCUUCCCAAGGGCACAGCAGUCUGGGGAGGCAGAAUUAUCAGCUACAGUUUUAAAUCACCCUGUCCCACAACAUUUACCUCAGUGCGUUAGGAAAGGUUUUGUUUAUGCAGAUUGGAUGCAACACGGCCUUCACUGUCAGCAAGAACCAGCUGGAAGAAGCACAUUAAUGAAAGAGCAGCUAGGGGAUACUGAGGUCUUCCAAAAGAUCCCACAAAGACAGAGCCUGCUGACUUCGCUGGCAAAAAGAGAAACAACAGGAACCACAAAUUGUCUUCUCAGCCAUAUCAAAGAUUUAACCCUUUGUUCCAGUCUUUUUCUCCCCUGAACACUUGCAAACAAGCAAAUGGCCAUUACUGCACCAUCCCCUCUUAAUUCUCCAAAGCAAUCCUGCCAGCAAGAAAAAAGUCCUAAAAUGCGUCUUCUGCAGCUGGGAAGCAUCUGAGACUCAAACUCCCACUCUGAGUUGUUGUAAUCACUGAGUAGCAACUGUAGGAUGAGGGCUAUGAAGAAUGUUUUGACCUUCAUAUUAACCUGCUGCAACUAAAUUUGACAAUAUAAUUGUCUGCUCCUUAGUAAUCACAUCUUGAUUUUCCCUGUUUCAUAAGCAUCCUGGAAAUAAACACAAAUCCAGGUCUAUUCGUCUCAUGAUGGCUGGAAGCCUGAACUGACUUAUAAAAAGGCUCAUAAGCAAGUUUAGAAAUACACAACUGACAGUGUGAAUCCCUCUCACCCACUGGGCAAGUAAAUGCACUUAAGAAAUUCCAGAAGGAGCCAACUCUGUGCAAUGGAAGUUUUGCCAUUUACUGUGACAGUCCCAGUCCUGCUGUCAGCACAUAUCCAGGGCAAGGGACAAACACCACCCCAAAUGCCAGCUCCAUUCUUCCCCUUCCCCACCCUAUCCUUCCUUCCCCCCUGAGCCAGCGGUGGAUGGGAAAUGGAUGCUUCCUCCCCUGUUCAGAGGCACAAGUGUCUCAUUUCCCCAUUUCCAAGAGCUGUUGAGACCUGAAAACUCUGCACAGCUCCAGCAGUCAUUUGAAGUCCAUGCACGUUGGACCCUGAACAGACGAGUGAAGGAGUUAUCCUUUGUGGACGCAGAGAAUCCACAGAUAAUGCUCAGCACAGCCCACAGGGAAGUGGGCUGAGUGGAAAGGCAAAAUCUUACUGCAAUAAGGAGAAGCCCCAAGACCUUAUUCGCAGCAGAUCUUUGUCCCAGACACGCAGCCGAGCACAAUUCUGCAAUGUAAUUGAUGUCCUGAAUUUUCCCACUUCUCUCUCUGAAGGUCACACAGGGACAACCCUUUCAGUUCCCACUAAAUCCCUCUUCUCCAUAGGAUUCUUCACACAGCCAAGAAAGGGCAAGAGCCAUCCCUGCCCUUCACUUGCCCCUUUCAAGGCAGAGGGCUUCUGUGAGGUUGAAAUUCCAAUAAAAAGCCAGUUGAGAUGCAGGCAGAUGAGAUAUCCCUCCUGUAAUGUUCAGAGGAAAUCAUCCUGCAAAGCACAGCUCUUAAUAAGAACUAGAAUUAAAAUUUCCUUAAAUAAAUAUAAGGAAAGAGUCCAAGAGGGAGAGUAGCCAACAGGAACAGGGAGUCGUGCUCGGGUCGGCCUCCGUCAUCCUUCCCCUUGGAGAUCUUCCAGGCACGUUGUGCCGAGGACAGGACCAGCAGCUUCGUGUCUCUCUUCCUAUCGACGCCAUCUGCAAAUGGAAAGAACUGCUUUGUCCCUGUGGUUGGGCACCAGUGCUGCCCACAGGCACCAUAUGGGAGCAGCACAGCAGGGCCCAGGGACUGGGUUCACCAGCCAUGGUCAAAUGGCAGCCAGCUCACAGGAAUUUGUCCAUCUGCAUAACUGGGAGAGGGAGCAAGGUGAGAAAUGAAGGUCUGACCAACUGGUACAAAUGUUCUUUCCCCUCUCCAGGAGCCAAAAUAUCUGAGUCAAAUUUCACCCAGACUGCUCAGCUACAGGGACUCUGCUUUCUAGUCAGCUGCCAAGGGACAGCAGCAGCUCCUGCCCUGAGGGAGGUCAGGUCUCCAAGCCAGAGUGUGACCCAGCGCUGUGCUCUCUGCAAGGACAGAUCAUGCCCUAACCAUGCAGGUCUCUGCAAGGAGCCUGUGGCUCUGAGGGACACAGAGUAGCUGCAACAUCCUCUAUGGACAGACAACAGGUUACUUACAUCCUCAAACACUUAUCCUUCCCUCCACUCGCCACCCUCUGUCCGUCCGGGCUCCAAUCCGUUGCGUACACCUGAUGUCACGGAAAAGACAGUUAGUUCUGCUGGGAGGAGGAGUCACUCCUGCCUCUCUCAAACACCAACACCUCACCUCAACCAAACAGCUCACCUCAUCUGCAUGGCCAGGAAGAUCGAUGGCCAGUUUCUUUGUCUUGGCAUCCCAGACCUUGAGGGUGCUGUCGCUGCUGCCGCUCACCAGCAAGCGGCUGUCGGCCGACCAGGCGAUCUGGUACACGGCCGAGACGUGCCCCCGCAGCGAUGUCAGGUACCUGAGCACAGCAGAGCACAAGCUGUUAGAGCAGCACGGCUUGUUCAAACCUGCCCUGGUCUUCCUGUUUCUUCUCCACCCGUGAGCAAACCAGCCCAGUCACAAGAUGCUCAGCACACCCCAGCCAGUCAACUGCGAGACAGAGUCCACAGAUUGCUCAGUCCAUCUAAAAACCCUCCCAGGUGGACUCAGAACCUUCUGGAGGAUGACUCUUCAUCUCACCUCAUCUGCCAAGAAACUCUUACCCAGCAGGCAACGCUACAGCCUUACUGCACAGAUGCGUUCUUCCUUUUUCUGGCCAAGCAGCCUGGAUUUAGAGGGAUCUUUAAAAUUACUGACAGGAAUGCCAAGCUCACGAGCAUAAAGGUUGCUCUGCAGGGAAGGACUGCUGCCCCAAGAGCUCACCAGUACUCCAGCUGAAGGCUAAAAGCUGGAUUCCAGGAGCAUCCAAACACCAACAGCACCACUUGUAACUACAAGAAUUUGCAUCAUCCAGAACAAGCUGUUCUCUGGCACGGGAACUGUUUAAACUGGGUCAGUCUACAGUGCCCAACACACACAUCUUCAGGAGAUCAGCCGAGUGGAACAUCCCAUCCCACUGCAGCUCAGAGAACUCACCCUGCAGCAGACUGUGUGUGCCACAGGUGCCAGGCAGUGCUGUGGCUGGGUGGCAGUGGCGCUGCACACACACAGCCAAGCACAAGAAGACCCCCUGACACAAGAAGAGCCAGACAAGGGACUUCCCAAGGGCAGAAAAAGACAGAGGCAGCAGAAUGACUUUGCAUGAGUUCAGGCUGCUGAGAUGCUGAACACAGCAGGGGGCUGCUGGCAAUGACACUGGAGCCCACCCCUGCAGACCCUAUACUAGCAACAGAACAAAACAACUCACUUUCCUGUCCUACCAUCCCAGAGCUUUAUGGACUUGUCAAAGGAAGCACUGGCUAUUAUCCGGGUGUCUGGCGAGAAGAGGACUUGGUUGAUCAAUGCCUGGUGGCCUGUCAUUCUCUCCAGCGGCUUCUUGUCUUCUGCUGGUCUCCAGAGAAACAGGGUGAAAUCAUCUGACCCCGAGACGAGCCUUUCUGGUUCCUGGCCCUGAGAAAGGGAGGAAAGAGCCCAAGUCUUGUAUGGGCCAGGUGUGGAGAGCUUGGAAGCACACCAGUGUUGGGGCCCAGAGCCCACUGUGCACAUUUACUGCUUCCACCAGUGGCAGUGUUAGAAAUGACAGCAGGGACAAAGGGGACUCACCCGGACUUGGUUGUACCUUUGCUGAGCCUUGUCCUUCAGUUCUGCCACUGAGAAAGGGAAAAGGAGAGGGGAAGAGAGAUAUGCAAUCCGGAGAAAGGAAACUUUAUAACCCUGAGAUGCCAAUUCCAAUCCUGGCUCCGUGGGCCAAGCAGACGCAUUUGUGACUUCUCACCCACCUCCUCUUUGCCAAGGGCAAUUUGGGAGCAAAAGCCCUUGGAAACAGAGCGACCUUCCCAUCCCCCAGACUGCUCGGCCCUGGCAAGGGCGAGGAAGAUCACAGCUGUCAGCACGACCGACAUGAGCACAGGACCUGCUCCCAGCUCCCAAGGUUGCUUUGGCUCGUGGCAACAUGGUAUCAGGUCUCCCCUUUAUCCUCCCCCCUGCCUCCCCCCGCCUGCAAGAGGGUGCUGCACUCACGGGAGCCGCUGACGUCCUGUGGGUUGAUCGUGGCCUCGGCGGGUUCGAAGGCCCCGGUGCGGAGGACGUAGUCGGUGCUCAGGGCCAUGGUGUUCACCCAGUGAGCGUGGCCCUGCAGGCUGCGGCACAGCACCCCCUGGGGACACAACCACCCCUCAGGGAGGGAGGCAGCACACAGCCAGGCUGCCCAGCACCCACCAGACCCACCGGGCUGCAAGGACCAACACCAAACUUUCCCAGCCCUCUCGCCCAAGCAGCAGGCAGGACUGCGGCAGGGAAGAAACGACACAGUUGAGCUUCAGGAAUCAGUUUCCCACAGGAGCUUGAGGACACCCACCAGCACAGGUUGCCUCUGGGAUGUUUCCAGCUUUUAGCCCCAUUUAAUGCUCUUAGAGAUGAAAAUAUUGCACAACAGCCACCCCUUCCAAAUUGUGUCAAGCAACAGGUUUUGAUAGGUCAAGAAGAUACAGCACCUGCUCUGCAGCUCUGUUUUCCAGGGCACAAGCUGUGCCAGGAAGAGCAGACAAAGCUACCACACAUUGUGCCCAGCCCCCUUUGCCAGCAGCCCCGGGGCUGCUGCCUCACUCACAUCCUGGCUCCUCCAGACUUUGAUGGUCCUGUCCUGGGAGGAGGAGUAGAUCAAGCCAUCACCCCCCCACUUCACACACGUCACCGACUGCGUGUGGCUCGUGAGGAUUUUGUCACACCUGCCCAUCAGUGUGUCCCAGAUGCGGACGCUGCCGUCCUUGGAGGCACUCGCCAGGUAACGACACUCUGGGUUUCUGGGGAAAAAGAAGAUCAAAUCCAUUUGUGCAGCGCACACAGCUCCUCCACCAAGCUCUUUCCCCACCACCCCCAGCGGAUUCAAGGGUCCAGAAGUCAAUAAAAUACAACUGUCUUUUGGCUUAAGAUCUGCAAGAGGCCAGGCAGGGGCAGAGCACUGACUUACAGAGACCAAAGUCCCACAAAGCAGGGGAGAGGCAGACAAAUGAUUCCUCCAAACCAGCUCCUGGGCUGCACACUGGAGGCAUUAAUCCAGGGUAAACCUGGCACCUGAGCCCUUGGUAAUGACCUUGUUUGCACAGGGCACAGCUUUAACCAGCUGGCUUAAGAGGGCACCCCAAAACUGGCACCUUCCCCAGGCACUGGCUGGGGAGAGCCCUGGGCAGGGGACCAGCCUCACCAAGGCAGUGCAGACCAGUGGCAUUGGGAAUGCACUGGAUGCUCCCCUGCCUAUGCCAUGCUUAUCUCCAGCCUGUGGACACAGUGCUCCUGUGCUGGCAGGACUGAAAGGAGCAACGUCCAUCCACGUGGCUUAGGGGGACAAAUUUAACACAUCUGGAAGCAGCUGGCACAACCCAUCAAGGACAGGGGAGCCACAACCCUCUGUCCUUUGCACAACACCUUCAUCGCUCAGCCUGGUGCCAUGAGGAGCAGUGAGGAAGAACAGCCCCUCCUGUUGCACUGGGACUGGCUGGAGAAAAGAGAAGUGCAGCCCUGCCAGGGUCAUGUCUCUCCUCUCCAUUUCCUCGUGCUCCUUUACAGUAAUUUUUCGCUAAUCCAGUUAAUUGUUUGCAAAUAGCUGGAGCUUCCUACUGGCAAAUUCAAUUUGCAGGGCCCUGCACUGAAGGGACCCUUUUUUCUUUCUUUUUUUAUUUAUUUCUAUAAUGUCUUGGAUUAUUGGCUAUAACUGCCCCCUCCACCCACCUCUCCCAGAGGGAGCUUUAGCUGAUCAAAGGGAUAAGGGGAUUGCACAGUUAAUCAUCCCUCAUGAUAAACAAACAGGAUGACAGAGGCCAGCAGGAUCAGGAGAGCAGGAGGGAAUGCUCUGCAGAGCCUGCACCUGGAGACCUCCAGGCUUCCCUGCUCCCAGCUCAGCAUGCCACAGAGGAGCACACCAAAUAUUUGUCCAGCACCACAAAAGCAGUGCUUUCCAGAGGCAGGUAUGUCUUUUACACAGGGGGAAAGAGGCACAGCCUGGCAGUGACUUCAUGGCUGGGGCUCCUGGCUCUCCCAGCUGGACACAUUUUUCCCAGCCCACCUUGGGAGCCGUUCUCCUGCACAUGCUUUUUCCCAUAACAGGAGAAAGGCAAACAGGAGCAAUGCCCUUCAGGUCAGGCUGCUCUUUUCCAUAGGAGUCAAGGGGAAGGGCUGGGCUGGCCCUUCACUUACAUGUGGAGCGGUUCCCAGCACAGACAUGUGAUCCAUUUGGAAUGGCCAGACAGCACCCGGCCGAUCUGGCUGCCCGUGGCUGGGUCCCAGAGAAAUAUCUGUCCAAGAGAGGAAGCGAGAGGGUCACGUCAGGCCACAGACAUCAUGUGAAUCCCAGGGACGCUGGAGCUCCAUUUAGGAAGCAAAGGUGUCCCUGGUGUCCGCUGAAACUGGCAGAGGCAGGGAGGAGCAAGGGAAGGGGGCUGGGUGCCUUUCCAGAUCCCUGCAGCCGUCAGCUGACACCCAAAAGAAUGAGAGCUGACUGCCCUCCUCUCUGCCUACAGCGCUGCUGCUACAAAUUAUCUGACUAAAUUAUCUGACUCAACUCAAAACGGAUACAGGUCCCCAAAAAGCCACCCUGUGCCAGAGACUCAGUGAGUGUUUGCAGAGCGCGACGAAAGCCACAGCGCACUAAGUGCUGCUUAUUAUCAGAUUCUGUGGGUGGGACACAUGCUGGUUUUCUCUUGUUGAUUCUCUCUCUACAUAAAUGUUCAUCUAAAGAGCCAAGGUAUUAGUCAUCUCCUACUUGAGAACCUGGGAAAAAUAGGGAAAUAGAGGACAAGAAGCUCCCUGGGUUCGAUUAAAGCCAGACCAGCACCAAACCACAGCAGAACCACCCUGGCCCAGUCUUGGGGAUGGAAUCACAACCUUGGCAGUUCCAUGGCUGCUCUCACUGCUCCCAGAUUGUUCGAAGGUCAGAGUGAGCCACUGCCCCUCUACAGCUCAGCAAGUUCCUGACUCGCGUUUAGCUGAGUGCUCCCGCUUCCUGAGGCAUUUCUGCACCUUAAGCACACACAUUCUUCCCCACAGCCAGGGCAGAGCCCCCUUCACAUUUCUACAAGAGGGAAUUUGGCUGUAUCUGUGUGAGAACGCUGCAAAACAGGCUGCUGCUGCAUGUCUGGGUCACAUUAACAGCAGCCCUGGCUUGGCUGGGCAAUAACCAUUCUCAAUCCAGACACCUCCCUUGUGAUGGAGCCGCCUGCCAGGGACCACAUCUAGAGCCUGGACUCUUUCCUGCACGGAGGGAAAAGCAUCUGCCACAAGACAGGACUCAGCAACAAGAGGUCCACAAGGUGACAAAGCCAGAGCUCUGCCUGGCACAGAGUCUGGAGACACUACUUGCAAUACCACAAUGCAUCCACACACAGAGCUCCUCUGGGGCACAGCAAUCCUGCUUGAAACAACUGGAUACAUCCCUCACAGCCCAGGAAACACAAGCCUUCACCCCUAAUCCCCCACAGCCCUUCACCAAGUUUGGUUUGAGUUCAGAAUGGGGCUGCAGAGGGUCUCCAAACCCCCACCCCCACACAGAGGGAGCCAACACGUACCUGGCCAUUCUUGCAGCCCGAGGCCAGUUUCUUGCCAUCCGGUGACCAGGCGAUGCUGAGCACCCAGUGCCGGUGACCUGGCAGAGAGAGCACGAGUGGGCAUGAGUGGAGAGCUGUGAUUAUCCUUAAUGUCCCAGCAGAAAGCCACUCCAAGGAAGUACAAGAUGGGGGGAACCCCCUGUGCUCCUCCUGGCCAGCCCCUCUUCUUCCACUUCGUCAAAGAGAGCCUUUCCCUCCCCAAGCCAUGGUUCUGCCUACACAGCUCAGGCAGCACCAGGCUCUGCUCUGCUUGUCCCCCAAGCAGGUAGGGGGUCCCUGAGGGACACCCCACACUCACCUUUGGCCGUGAACUGCGGUGUCUCCGUGCUGAGAUCCCAGAAGCGGACGGUGGUGUCUCCAGAUCCACUCGCCAGGUACCUGGGAGAGGAUGAAGACCCCAGCUCAGCACAGUGUCCCCAGGAGAGGACAAGAGCAGUUGCUGCCGAGCCCCGAGCCCCCUGCCUGCAGGCAGACCCUCGUACUUUCCGGUGGGGCUGAAGGCCACGGAGAUGACGGCCUCGGUGUGCCCCUCGAGGGAGCUGGUGCAGCGCGUCACCGCCCGCACCCGGAACACCGCCUGCGGCUGGUAGAUGAUGUCCAGCACCUUCUCCGUCUCCACGCUCUGCCCCGCCAGGGUCUUCUCCAGCGACGCCACAAUCUCGGCAUCGUGGACGAAGAAGGCCAGAGGCACCGGCUCAUCCUGCGGGAGAAAGGGCAGAUUUAGCAGCAAGAUCUUUGUACCACAUGGGAGGAGCGGCAGCAGAACAGCUAUUCCUUCUCACCAGGAUUUGCAUCUUCAGCCUCACAAGCCACAUCAGACAGAGUUAAAUCAUAUCCUGCAGACACAGUGAAGCUGCAUUUUCCAAACUCCAAAGGACACCAUGUGUGAGCAAGAAACUGCAGGAGCAAUUUGUUGCAGAUAAGGAAUAACCACCAUGCACAAGGAGGAGCAGCACAACUCACACCACUGAAGAGAUGACAUGGAACCAGCUCCACAAAGCUAGAGCCUCCUGACUCCUCAGUCAUGAUGGAUACCACGGAAAUGUUCUGGAAACACACUGCCAAUACUUAAUUCUCUCACAAAUAGUAUUGCUUAACCAUCACCAAAGCUCGGGCAAGCAACUGAUGGGGAGAUAACAGUUUAAAAAGCUGUGAUGGAAGAGUGUUUGGGGGAAUGUUUAAAAAAAAUAUUAUUAUUUUUUUAAAGGAAGCUCCGAAAGGAAGUGAAUGAGGAGAUCUGUUUAAAACAAAAAUAAAGGAACCCAAGCAGUACA